AAGAGGGGGGACAGAGGGUGGUGGAUGUAUGGAACGAGCUGUCAGAGGAAGUGGUCGAGAAAGAAAUCACCGUCUUCGCUGGUCCCUGAGGAUCGAGGAUGACUUGCUCCCAUUUCAGGUUGAGGCCACAUGGUGGAGAACAACAUGAAC